CGCCGCGCACGUGGGCAGCGGCCCAGGCCCCGCCCGGCGCGCGAUUUUUUCUCUGGAACAACUUUUGCUUUAAAAAUGUGUCAGGUGCUGUCGCCUGCGCGGUCGCUGGACUUCGGGCCUCGCCGGUCCUCCAGCCCAGCUGAGUCAGCGCUCAUGCCUGGGCUGGGCAAGGGUUGCUGAAUGGAGAACUCAAACAGGGAGGAGCUGCCAGGCGCCCGCGGCCCGGCGCUCGGAAGCUCCCGCCGGCGAUCACGUGAAGCUGCGAGUUCAAGACCGGGCUGGGCGGCCUAGCGUGACCCGGUCCGGAAAACAAAAAAUCCAUUAAUUCCGGAUAAGUCAGAGGAAGGAGCAUCAUGGGAAGAAAUAUAUAGAAAAUGCUGUUAACGCUGAGGUGACUGUUGUUUCAAAGUCGGAAGGUGUCCUUGACAAUACAGAAUGUAUUAAUUUCCUUCCAAAAUCAACUUUUAUUCAUGUAUAUGUUGGAGUAAGUUUCUUAUUUAAAAAAAUUUGACAAUUUGUUCCUGAAAACCUACAUUGUUUUUUAUUUAAACUGUCUUAAUUCUGUUUUUGUGUUGACUGAGAGAGGGAGAAGAAUUCACAAACUGUGUUCUGAGGAUCUGAGACAGAGUAGUAAUGGGAACAUAUAUGUAGACCACACACACUCUGUGUUUUCAUAUAUUUAUAUAUUUUUAUAUAAACAUUAUUCUAUCCCUAAACUAGUGUGUAAUGUUGUCUUCUGAAGAACAUUUGUCCUUUUUAGUUGUCAGAUGUUACUAAGUUGAGAAUGCAGCUAUCAUUAAAAAUUAAAAGUAAUCCUUGAGCAGGAAGAGUACAAAGUCUAUGUUUUUCAAAAUUAUAGUGGAGCUGUUGUGUCUUGUAGAUAGGAAGACACGUGACAUACCAAGGAUCUAUGGGUGUUCUUUCAAGGAGCUGAGAUGGAUGCCUUUGAUAGAGUGACCAAGGGCAAGAAAGCAAUUUAAGGGCUGGGGAUGUGUCUCAAUUGGUAGCGCGCUCCCCUGGCAUGCGUGUGGCCCGGGUUCGAUCCUCAGCACCACAUACCAACAAAGAUGUUGUGUCCGCCGAAAACUAAAAAAUAAAUAUUAAAAAAUUCUCUUUCUCUCUCUCUUAAAAAAAAAGAAAGAAAUUUAAAUCUCUAAACCAGAAAAAAAAAUUGAAACAGUAUAUCUAAAUUUAAGUCCUUAAGGGUUUCAAGAUAUGGCUCAGUGGAAGAACACUUUCUUAGCAUAUGCAAGUUUUAUCCUUAGCUUCACAAAAGGCAAUAAUAAAGAUACAUUGAAACUUUUAGUAAAACACAACCUAAAAUACAAUGAAGUAUGGCAUCUA